rnacentral:lncRNA from 1 species
AUGUAAUUACAAGUGUGCUCCUGGUGGUCUUUAACUGAAGGGCACUGACUGGGUACUGGUGAAGUUCCCCGCAGGAACUGAGUCAGACCCCAUCUCAGGGCCCUGCAGAAGAUAGGUGCCUGCUCUAAGGCGUGGACCCUCGCGACAGCCCUGGCCCGUCUUGACGGGCGAGGGUUACUGUACUUGUCCCAAUCGUACAGAUGAGAAAGCUCAGACUCAGGGCCAGCAACCCCGGUCCCAGCGGAGCGCCCGGCACGCGCCGACACUUCAGCACCAGUCGCGGUGGCCACCACUGUGCGCGGAGAUGGCUGCGACGCGUGCGCAGAUCUCGAUCCCAAACUCCCUCCUGCCAGAAUCUGGACCCGAAUCCACCCAUUGCCCAUUUUCCGCUGCCGCUGGAGAGAAUCUCUGAGGUCCCCAGGACAGCCUGCCUGCACGGAAGAGAUGCCUCCUCAGUAUGGCCGCCCCCGGAGAGGAGCGAUUAAGUGCAGACCCCCAUGUUGCUCUUGAGCCUGAGCGGCUUCAGGGAGCCAUGUUUGUUACUGGCGGGCGCCGGCCUCACUGAGCAUGUGCAGCCCUGGCCGGGCGGCCUCAAAGUUCUGACAUCACAGGGCGGUUCCUGAAGUGGACGUAGUUGUAAGAGCUAGUUAUUUUAGACAAUGCCUCUGGGAUCAGGGACUCUAAUCUGGAAAUAGGUAGUGGGAGAGGUCGGUGAUGCUGUCUCGGGGUCAGAGACCUGAGCUAUAUGGGGUUAGAGAGGGGCCCUGGGCAGGCGAGUCUCUGGGGAGUGUGGUGAGAAUCCUUGUGUAAGAUGCUGGGAGGAGGUGGGGUCAGGGCUGGGGUCCGUGGGCCGACGGGUUGGGGGAUGGCCAGCGUCAGGGAUCAGUAGUAGAGAUUCUAUGUGCCCUGAUCGCCAGUAGAGGUUUUAAAUACAGAGUAUUCAUGAGUUUAGCAAUGUUAUUCGCCUCUCAUAAUUUAAAUAAUUUGAAGUUUUCCCCCAGUAACUAGUGUCUUAGAAGUCAUGAAAAUUUCAGAAAAUGACAGGUCUUCUGAGUUCGUGAUGGGAGUUGGGCAGCAGUCGCAUACGAGCACCUGGAGAGUCCUUGCCAGUUCUUUGGGGAUGGGGAGCUCUUAAGACUGCCCUGAGACCGCCCUUUGACCUCAUUAUGGUCCUUUCUAGAUUAAAUGCUGUUUUCCAUGACCGUCUCUGUUCUUCCCAUACGCGAAUGGCAGGCAUCCAGAUCUCCAAGAAUAGAGGAUUAGGAGAGACUCCACCACCUAUGUCCUCACAGUUAAUUAUCGAUUUGUGUCACUUGCCCAUUUUCUCACUUCCUGUUUGUGUGUCAAGGAGUAUUAAUAAAUCUUUGCCUAUUUAAAGAUACUAGCCUUGGAUUUUCAAAUAUUGCAUAUUUUGACAUGUAAAAAUGUGUUAGUUUUAUUUUUUCAACCGAUCUGACCUGUAUAGUUGGGCUUGAGGAAGCUUCCUCAUUGUACAUGUUACUAUGGAUUUUCUAAUAUUAACACAGGGUUGUAUUUUUUCCAUAUAACUUUCUAUUGAAUUUCUUUUUCCAUAUGAUAGGUGGUGAAGGUUUAGCCCAGUAAAGCAGAGAGGUUAAGAGGUUAGACUGGGGGCUCUGGAGCCAGACCUAUGUAGAUCUGAGUCCUGGCUCUGGCACUUGAAAGCCGUGUGACCUUGGUUAAGAUACUUAGCCCCUCUCUGCCAAAUGGAGAAAUAAGGGCACCUACCCCGUAGGGUAGUUGUGUGAGUACACAAGUUAAUACACUUCAAUCACUAGCAAGAAAGUGAAUGUCAAGCUGUAUUUGUUCAGGCAGCCAUAUGGUAGCCCCACCUCAUUAGUAAACUGAGGUAUUGAAGUAUCUUCUUUUUCUUUCAGAAAAUAUUUGUCAAGCACCUUCUGUGUUCUAAGAACUGUUCUAGAGCUUUGCAUGCUAUGGAGGUCUAGAAAUUCACAUUAUGGUGGCAGGUGACAGACAAUACAAAGAGGUAAAGCAAUUUCAUAUAGUGAUAACCUAGGGAGGCGUGCUAAAAGGAGCCAAGGUGUAGUGGUGACUGGAAGGUGACCAGGGAAACCACUGUAGGGUUUCUAACUGAUGAGAUCUGUGACAAAUCCCUGUGGUCAGCAGCAGGCAUUGGAUAUGUAACUUUAUUCUGUCCCAUUGAUCUUGUAGUCAACCCUGGUCUGUUCUGUAUUGUUUUAAUUACAUAAUCUUUGUAAUAAUCUUU